CAGGACAGAUCUGCUUAGCUGGGUAUAAAGCCCAUGUCUUGUCUUCUAACUGUGCUGGCUUGUUUUCCUUCGCUCAUAGGCAAGGAUGGACAUUCUGCCAGGCCUUCAUCUCCUUCCUGGAGUAGAGGGGGAGUUCCUGAGCAACAUGGUGACCCAGAUUGGACUUCACCAGGACUGAAGAUGACCUAAACAACAGGAUUUGGUGAACAAUUCUUGGCCAACCAAUCACUUGCCUUAAGGAUGCCAAGGUCACAACCUCAUAACCAAGAUGACCAGCUCCACCCACAGUAUUCCUUUAUCUGAUGAUACCCUGAGUGUCCCAGGACUCUGCCAGAAAUCAUCCUGUCACCAUCUGGGGAUCCAGGUCUGUGGACUAGAACAAACCUCUUUUCUUUAUCAGUCAUCCAGUCUUGCCCCAUUUUCAAUUUGAAUAUAAAGAAGUUCAGACAUUGCUAACUUGCCCACAGACACAGAGUUCAGGCAAAAGAGACCUAACUUUGGAAACUGUUUGAAUUAGCUGUUUCCCUGUUACUGUAAUAAAAAUAUCCUGACACAAAUCAA